rnacentral:tRNA from 1 species
GGCCCUAUGGCGCAACGGUAGCGCGUUCGACUCCAGAUCGAAAGGUGAGCCCCACUUAUCUGUCUACCCAAUUGGCCGAACUAGGAACUAACUCAUGAUUGCUCUCUAGGUUAUCCGUUCAAAUCGGGUUGGGGUCA